rnacentral:rRNA from 1 species
CCUACGGGCGGCAGCAGUGGGGAAUAUUGGACAAUGGGCGAAAGCCUGAUCCAGCCAUGCCGCGUGUGUGAAGAAGGCCUUCGGGUUGUAAAGCACUUUCAGUGGGGAAGAAAGCCUUGGGGCUAAUACCCUCGAGGAAGGACAUCACCCACAGAAGAAGCACCGGCUAACCCCGUGCCAGCAGCCGCGGUAAUACGGAGGGUGCGAGCGUUAAUCGGAAUUACUGGGCGUAAAGCGCGCGUAGGCGGUCUGAUAAGCCGGUUGUGAAAGCCCCGGGCUCAACCUGGGAACGGCAUCCGGAACUGUCAGGCUAGAGUGCAGGAGAGGAAGGUAGAAUUCCCGGUGUAGCGGUGAAAUGCGUAGAGAUCGGGAGGAAUACCAGUGGCGAAGGCGGCCUUCUGGACUGACACUGACGCUGAGGUGCGAAAGCGUGGGUAGCAAACAGGAUUAGAUACCCCAGUAGUC